AGGGACCUUCAUAGCUUUAAGCUUGCUAGCUUAGCAAAGCAAUGUUGGCGACUACUCCAAUAUCUAGAAUCUCUUUAUGUACGAGUAUUAAGUGCUAAAUACUUUCCUAAUGGGGACAUUCUAAAGUCUGGACCGAAGAAAGGAUCGUCGUUCAAAUGGCAAAGUAUUGUGGCUGGUAUUCAGACAUUCAAAUGA
rnacentral:rRNA from 1 species